UUUUUCUCCGUUUACACCAAUUUCCUAUGAUACCAAACUCUUUCUAACCCCAUUACUAAUAGCCUUGCCAAAAUGGAGUUUUCCGAACUUUCUCUGGAGUUCAUGACUCUUCUUUCUCUUUCAGCACUGGUGUUUCUCCAGAGGAAUAUCAGCCAGUGGUCUGAUUGUGUGUGACACUCUUGCAGAUUAAUAGUAGUUACUAGGCAUGUAUGAAUGCAUUUGUUAGCCUGUGACUGAUUGUGAAGUUUCUUUUUAGCUAAUGUAACAAAUGCACUUGGCUACUAAAC
rnacentral:lncRNA from 1 species